AUACGUAGGUGGCAAGCGUUAUCCGGAUUUAUUGGGCGUAAAGCGAGCGCUAGGCGGUUUUUAAGUCUGAUGUGAAAGCCCUCGGCUUAACCGAGGAAGCGCAUCGGAAACUGGGAAACUUGAGUGCAGAAAAGGACAGUGGAACUCCAUGUGUAGCGGUGAAAUGCGUAGAUAUAUGGAAGAACACCAGUGGCGAAGGCGGCUGUCUGGUCUGUAACUGACGCUGAGGCUCGAAAGUAUGGGUAGC
rnacentral:rRNA from 1 species